UGAGGGUACAGCUCAGUGGUACAGUAUGUGCUUAGCAUGCAUAAGACCUGGGUUUGAGCCCUAGCACUACAA
rnacentral:tRNA from 1 species